UGGGAGGUAAUAGAACCUCUGGUUGCCUUGAAUAAGAUACUAGACGUUGUUAAGCUUUUGGUAGACCACGCUCUGGGGUAUAUAUUCAGAAUGCCUCGUCUCCUAGAAGCUGAGCUCCCCUUUGUGCCUGCCUAGCAGAGCCUACAUUGCUUCCUUUUACCCAUGCCUCCAGCUUAUGUAUCCUUUGCUUCACAUGAUCUCUUGUCUAGAAGAGUUCAGGCCCUAGGUUCUGAGAGAACUGUGUAUAUAAAUUUGGGUAGUAGCUACAACUGCCUUGCUAUGGUCUUGAUAUAAAAAAUUCUGUCUUACGUGCACUUGAAUAGGUGGCAUAAAAUGCAAUCAGUGUAUAGAAAUCAUGCAGAUUUCCAAAUAACAUCUAAUUAGGUAGUCAUAAUUAAUAAUAGUAGCAAAUACGGUGGGAAAAAAAAACCAACUUUGAAACCAGCCCAGAACUUGAGGAAAGGAGAUGUGUUCAUGAGCUCUUGCCUGAUCUUUAUAAGCAUUACUAAGUUGGUAGCUCUGUAUCUUUUUGCACUAUGUGUUUGGUUUUGUUGUGCUUUUUUGUGUAUUAAAUAAUUUUCAUUUUGUCAUUUUGUGGUGUCAUUAUUGGGGAAAUACAGAAUUGUUUUUGUAUACAGC
rnacentral:lncRNA from 1 species